CACGUAGGGCGCAAGCGUUGUCCGGAAUUAUUGGGCGUAAAGAGCUCGUAGGCGGUCUGUUGCGUCCGCUGUGAAAACUCGGGGCUUAACCCCGAGCCUGCAGUGGAUACGGGCAGACUAGAGGUAGGUAGGGGAGAAUGGAAUUCCCGGUGUAACGGUAAAAUGCGCAGAUAUCGGGAGGAACACCGGUGGCGAAGGCGGUUCUCUGGGCCUUACCUGACGCUGAGGAGCGAAAGCGUGGGGAGCGAACAGG
rnacentral:rRNA from 1 species